GGUGUGGGAUGAGCCCGCGGCCUAUCAGCUUGUUGGUGGGGUGACGGCCUACCAAGGCGACGACGGGUAGCCGGCCUGAGAGGGUGUCCGGCCACACUGGGACUGAGAUACGGCCCAGACUCCUACGGGAGGCAGCAGUGGGGAAUAUUGCACAAUGGGCGCAAGCCUGAUGCAGCGACGCCGCGUGGGGGAUGACGGCCUUCGGGUUGUAAACCUCUUUCACCAUCGACGAAGGUCCGGGUUCUCUCGGAUUGACGGUAGGUGGAGAAGAAGCACCGGCCAACUACGUGCCAGCAGCCGCGGUAAUACGUAGGGUGCGAGCGUUGUCCGGAAUUACUGGGCGUAAAGAGCUCGUAGGUGGUUUGUCGCGUUGUUCGUGAAAUCUCACGGCUUAACUGUGAGCGUGCGGGCGAUACGGGCAGACUAGAGUACUGCAGGGGAGACUGGAAUUCCUGGUGUAGCGGUGGAAUGCGCAGAUAUCAGGAGGAACACCGGUGGCGAAGGCGGGUCUCUGGGCAGUAACUGACGCUGAGGAGCGAAAGCGUGGGGAGCGAACAGGAUUAGAUACCCUGGUAGUCCACGCCGUAAACGGUGGGUACUAGGUGUGGGUUUCCUUCCUUGGGAUCCGUGCCGUAGCUAACGCAUUAAGUACCCCGCCUGGGGAGUACGGC
rnacentral:rRNA from 1 species